rnacentral:misc_RNA from 1 species
UACGUAGGGUCCGAGCGUUGUCCGGAAUCAUUGGGUGUAAAGGGUGUGUAGGCGGACUUGUAAGUCAGAGGUGAAAUCCUGCAGCUUAACUGCAGAACUGCCUUUGAUACUGCAGGUCUUGAGUCCUGGAGGGGUGGCUAGAAUUCGUGGUGUAGCGGUGAAAUGCGUAGAUAUCACGAGGAAUACCAGAGGUGUAGACGGGUCACUGGACAGGUACUGACGCUGAGGCACGAAAGCGUGGGGAGCAAACAGG